rnacentral:sRNA from 1 species
GCUGAGUAUGGUGGCUCACACCUGUAAUCCCAGUGGCCUGGGAGGCUGAGGCAGGAGGAUGGCAAGUGCAAAGCCAGUCUUAGCGACUUAGUGAGGUACUAAGCAACUCAGUGAGACCCUGUCUCUA